GACGAACGCUGGCGGCGUGCUUAACACAUGCAAGUCGAACGGCAAGGCCCUGCUUUUGUGGGGUGCUCGAGUGGCGAACGGGUGAGUAACACGUGAGUAACCUGCCCUUGACUUUGGGAUAACUUCAGGUAACUGGGGCUAAUCCCGGAUAGGAGCCCCCGCUGCAUGGUGGGGGUUGGAAAGUUUCGGCGGUUGCGGAUGGACGCGCGGCUAAUCAGCUUGUUGGUGGGGUAGUGGCUUACCCAGGCUUUGACGGGUAGCCGGCCUGAGAGGGUGACCGGCGACAUUGGGACUGAGAGACGGCGCAGACUCCUACGGGAGGCAGCAGUGGGGAAUAUUGCACAAUGGGCGGAAGCCUGAUGCAGCAACGCCGCGUGCGGGAUGACGGCCUUCGGGUUGUAAACCGCUGUCGCCUGUGACGAAGCGUGAGUGACGGUAAUGGGUGAAGAAGCACCGGCUAACUACGUG
rnacentral:rRNA from 1 species